AAGAAAAGUUCGGUGUCAAAUAUACAGGAGGCUUCCGCAGGCGCUCCCUGAAUGAGGAUCUCUCUCGGAGUCUGAUAUCAAGGAGGAUGACAAAGGAGAUCAGUUCCUCGAGAUCUUUAGGUAAUUCUCUGAUUGCAAUCUCAUCCUUAAUAGCAUCGGAGAGCCUAAUUAAAAAGGCAGCCACGAGAAUCUCAUUGUUCCAGACACUUUCUGCUGCCAGGGUACGGAAUUCACUGGCAUAUUCGACAAUCGUUCUCGUGCCCUGUGCAUUAGACAUGAGUUGUUUGGCAGCAGAGGUGGAGCGAGCUGGAAUAUCAAAUACCCUUUUAAAGGACAUCACAAAUUCAGGGUAAUUGUAAAUAUUGUGUCUCUCUGCCUCCCAGAGAGGAUUCGCCUAAACUAGGGCUUUUUCAGACAGCAAAGAAAUCAUGAACCCAACUUUGCUUCUGCCUGUAGGAAAUGCCUGGGGAACCAAUUCAAAGUAUCCUCCAACCCGGUUUAAAAAUCCUCUGCACUGAGCUGGUUUCCCCAAAAUACUGAGGGAGUAAUUCCUCUAGCCGCAACAGGUGGUAGAACAUUCACAGAGAUCUAUAUGUCUAGGAUAUGCAGGCUCUGUUAAUUGUGACUCUUUUGCCA